rnacentral:tRNA from 1 species
GAAAGUGUAGCUCAGUGGUAGAGUGCUUACCUAGCAUGUGUUUGGCCUGGGUUCCAUCCCCAGAACUGCCA